rnacentral:rRNA from 1 species
CACGCUGUAAACGAUGUCGAUUUGGAGUUUGUUGCCUAGAGUGAUGGGCUCCGAAGCUAACGCGAUAAAUCGACCGCCUGGGGAGUACGGCCGCAAGGUUAAAACUCAAAUGAAUUGACGGGGGCCCGCACAAGCGGUGGAGCAUGUGGUUUAAUCCGAUGCAACGCGAAGAACCUUACCUGGUCUUGACAUCCAUAGAAUUCUGCAGAGAUGUGGGAGUGCCUUCGGGAACUAUGAGACAGGUGCUGCAUGGCUGUCGUCAGCUCGUGUUGUGAAAUGUUGGGUUAAGUCCCGCAACGAGCGCAACCCUUAUUCUUUGUUGCCAGCGAUUUGGUCGGGAACUCAAAGGAGACUGCCGUUGAUAAAGCGGAGGAAGGUGGGGACGACGUCAAGUCAUCAUGGCCCUUACGACCAGGGCUACACACGUGCUACAAUGGCGUAUACAAAGGGAAGCGAAGGUGCGAGCUGGAGCGGAUCUCAUAAAGUACGUCUAAGUUCGGAUUGGAGUCUGCAACUCGACUCCAUGAAGUCGGAACCGCUAGUAAUCGUAGAUCAGAAUGCUACGGUGAAUACGUUCCCGGGCCUUGUACACACCGCCCGUCACACCAUGGGAGUGGGUUGCACCAGAAGUAGAUAGCUUAACCGCGAGGGGGGCGUUUACCACGGUGUGAUUCAUGACUGGGGUGAAGUCGUAACAAGGUAACCA